GAUUAGCUUGUUGGUGAGGUAAAGGCUCACCAAGGCUACGAUCAGUAGCUGGUCUGAGAGGAUGAUCAGCCACACUGGGACUGAGACACGGCCCAGACUCCUACGGGAGGCAGCAGUGGGGAAUCUUGCGCAAUGGGCGAAAGCCUGACGCAGCCAUGCCGCGUGAAUGAUGAAGGUCUUAGGAUUGUAAAAUUCUUUCACCGGGGAAGAUAAUGACGGUACCCGGAGAAGAAGCCCCGGCUAACUUCGUGCCAGCAGCCGCGGUAAUACGAAGGGGGCUAGCGUUGCUCGGAUUUACUGGGCGUAAAGGGCGCGUAGGCGGACAGUUUAGUCAGAGGUGAAAGCCCGGGGCUCAACCCCGGAAUUGCCUUUGAUACUGGCUGUCUUGAGUUUGGGAGAGGUAUGUCGGAACUCCGAGUGUAGAGGUGAAAUUCGUAGAUAUUCGGAAGAACACCAGUGGCGAAGGCGGCAUACUGGCCCAUACUGACGCUGAGGCGCG
rnacentral:rRNA from 1 species